CCGCGCAUCAAAACCCUAGCCGCUAACCCUGCUCGUCCCCUCCUCCCCGCUCCCUCCAUCCUCUCCCAUGUCGCCGCCCCUCUUCUCCCCGCUUGCCUCGGCCGCCUCCUCUCCUCCGCCGGGUCAUCGGCCCCCUCCCUUCUCCUACCUCCUCCUCCCUCCUCUCAGUCCGGUGCCAGCCGCCGCCCAAACCCUAGCCCCCGUUUCCCUCGAUCCCCACAGUAACCGCAUCCACAACCACCCGCUCAGCAAGGCCGAAGACCGGGCAGCGGACGCCUCACAGGGUGGAGGAGAGGCCAACGAUAGGGAAAAGCAGCAUCUUCAUGGAUGAGAUCCUGACGACUGAAGAUGGUGCGCGCGGGAGGAGCUUGGAAGAUGUCAAGGUGAGCUUGGCCGCCACCUCUCCUCUCAUCCCUCCUUUCCUCCCAAUUCUCCAAUCUGGAGUUGGUGGUCGCCGGCGCCGUGGGGUGAUAGAGGCCGUCACCUCUCCUCACCUCCUCUCAUCUUCCAGUGGUGGCGCCGCCGGGGAUGAGGGGAGCAGCAGCCGCAGCAGGCGGUGAUGCUGGUGAAGCGGUGGUCCAUGGUGCCUUCAUCGUUGUCGUCCUCGGCAGAAGAUGUGUGCAGAUCGAACGAAGAAGAGAAGAGGAAGGAUCUUGAGGAAGAGGAAAAAACAAGGCAAUGGGACUGUUGACCGGGUACAAGAGCUUCUUCAGAAAACCCAUGCUGCUUUUCUAAAUCGCAAUUUUGUUCAAGGUAAAACCAGCCAAGCCGGAGACUACUACAACCCUUUUUGCAAUAUAUAGUUGAGAGAAUUCGACCAUGCUAUUAUAGCUGGAGACUGUUACUAUUGUCAAUUAUAAAAAAUAUGUUCUUCUAUGAUUUAGUGAAGUCGGGAGGAAAGUGUUGUGCAAAGGCAGAAGCUUUUGUAGCUGUGGUGUUCUUAAUAAUGGCACUAAAGGCCGAAAAACAUAGAUUUUGACAGGUUUUAUUUGUGUAAAAAAACACAAAAGAAGAGCUUUUGCAUGAUAUUAAAACCCAUGUUGGUUUGGUUCUAGAAAUACAAGCAGUUUUCUGAACCCUGCUACUGUCACUAUGGUUGCUAUUUUCAUUUUUGUUGCAGAGCAGUUCUCUCAUGGUGUUUCUAUUAGCUGCGAGGAACAUUGAGCUAGCUUUUGUCUUGAAUCUCUUAGGUGUUAUGUAGAGGUUGGACUUGCCAGUGAGCUAAAUGGCCCAUUGGAACUGCUUGUUUGACCUUUCAAAAUGGUUUGGUGGUGCAGAUAAGUUUGGCCACAACCCAUCGGAUUUAGAUUUUAGGUGCCGUGUGAAACAAUUUCUUAGGCAGGUUGUUUUUUUUCUUAAGCAAGGUAUAUAGGUAGCAUGGGGAACGAUUUAUCGAGUAGGUUUAUUUGUUUGUUAUUAUAUUUGGGUACUUAUUUCCUGAUGUUUUUUAGGUUCUCUGUAUAACAUGGUAAAGUUGCUGGUACGAUUUUGGAGGCAACACUGAUAUUUUUCUGCCGACUUUGUGGACAGGCUAACAAUGAAAAUUUUAUCUGUAAAAUAUGGUGAUCCCUAUAGUGGUAUUUCUAAAGCUUCGAUGUGCUUGCUUUCCCCCAACAAGCAGUAAUCCCAUCAUGGUUGCAUCAGGUGAUAUAUCAUGUGAGAAAAUCGAACUACUCAUUCAUAAGACAUGAUUUUCGCUCACAUUUAUCAUGCUUCGACACUCACAAAAUAAAUACUUGGGCAAUUGCUCUGUUUUGUAUUGCGAGCCUUAAUUUGUGGGAUGCUAGCCGACCCUCCUCCGCGGAGAUCCUCCCGUGCGCAUCACUCGUGGCUGUCGGAUGGCUUUUGACUUUUGCUAUUGAUCAUUGGAUUGGUUGAAUGCAUGGUAAAUUUUGUUACCUUUUCUCUAUUUUUCUGGUUGGAUGACUUGUGGACCUUUUGUCUGUGUGAUUCGGUUGGUUCAUUGUGGGUGUUUUCAAAUCUUUGUGUAAGUCAACCAGUACGGCACGUGCGCGUGCUGGUGUAUGAGUCAUCUGACUCGCACUAUGGCUGAUGAAGCAAGAAAGAGUGCCACGGGCGGGAACCAGAGGACUUGCGAGAAGGGAGUACAACCAUUUUUGCAAUAUAUAGUUGAGAGAAUUCGAGCCUGCUACUAUAGCUGGAGACUGUUACUAUUGUCAAUUAUAAAAAUUAUGUUCUUCUAUGAUUUAGUGAAGUCGGGAGGAAAGUGGUGUGCAAAGGCAGAAGCUUUUGUAGCUGUGGUGUUCUUAAUAAUGGCACGGAAGGCCAAAAAACAUAGAUUUGGACAGGUUUUAUCUGUGUAAAAAACACAAAAGAAGAGCUUUUGCAUGACAUUAAAAACAAUGUUGGUUUGGUUCUAGAAAAAAAAGCAGUUUUCUGAACCCUGCUACUGUCACUAUGGUUGCAAUUUUCAUUUUUGUUGCAGAGCAGUUCUCUCAUGGUGUUUCUAUUAGCUGCGAGGAACGUUGAGCUAGCUUUUGUCUUGAAUCUCUUAGGUGUUAUGUAGAGGUUGGACUUUCUAGUGAGCUAAAUGGCCCAUUGGAACUGCUUGUUUGACCUUUUAAAAUGGUUUGGUGGUGCAGAUAAGUUUGGCCACAACCCAUCGGAUUUAGAUUUUAGGUGCCGUGUGAAACAAUUUCUUAGGCAGGUUAUUUUUUUUCUUAAGCAAGGCAUAUAGGUAGCAUGGGGAACAAUUUCUCGAGUAAUUUUAUUUGUUUGUUAUUAUAUUUGGGUACUUAUUUCCUGAUGUUUUUUAGGUUCUCUGUAUAACAUGGUAAAGUUGCUGGUAUGAUUUUGGAGGCAACACUGAUAUUUUUCUGCCAACUUUGUGGACAGACUAACAAUGACAAUUUUAUCUGUAAAAUAUGGUGAUCCCUAUAGUGGUAUUUCUGAAGCUUUGUUGUGCUUGCUUUCCCCCCAACAAGCAGUAAUCCAAUCACGGGUGCAUCAGGUACUAUAUCAUGUGAGAAAAUCGAACUGCUCAUUCAUAAGACAGGAUUUCCGCUCACAUUUAUCAUGCUUCAACACUCACAAAAUAAAUACUUGGGCAAUUUCUCUGUUUUAUAUUGCGAGCCUUAAUUUGUGGUGCUAGUAGUAUUUUUUGCGUUUAUUUGAAAACCAACACUAAAUCACCAUUAUGCCUUACAGUGGCUCUUUUUUAUAUUGUAUUCGCUGUUAAUAUGGUAUCUUCUAAACUAUGUUACAGAAUUUUCAGUUGUGUUUAUACUACAUUCUCUUAUAAAUGUACAUUACAUUAUCUUCUAGCAAAUAUACUGAAUCACUAUUAUGCCUUGUAUGCAUGUUUUGGUAAAAAAAUGAGUUGAAGUCUUUAACAAUCCUUUUCAGACCCUCUCUCUGUUACACAUUUGCAUGAAAAAACAGAAGUAAAAGGGAAAACUUACUUUGGGUUCAUAUGGUGUAGACCAACAACAAAACGAUUGUUAAUGAAAGGUUUAAGUGCACGUAUACUCAAAACGAGGUCUUUUAUCUAAUUGGUUGGAUAACUUAUUUUCAUGUCUAUGUGGAUUUCCACAAUAACACUACCUCCAACUUUCUCAUUUCCCCAGCUCUGCAUACAAGUUCCAAACUAGGUAUGCCAAUCUUGUUAUCACUUGUUCAGUCGCAUUCUGGUUUAUGCCUUUUCACCUGCAUGUAGUGAGGCAGUGUGUGGAAUUUAGGUGCUAGUUUGAACAAAUUACAAUGAUGUAGUCCUACAGAUCAGUACAGGUCACCGGCUUUAUAUUGUGGUCAGCAUCUUGUAAGUACUUUGGGAAACAAGUUCUGGGGUAAGUUUAUCUGCUUGCUCAUGCAUUUUAAUACUUCAUUGAUGUCCUGAUAAUUUGUGAAGUUCUGUGUACCAUGUGAUAAGCUGCACAUCAGGUUGCAUGGCAGCUUGUUUGUUGCUUUUAGGAUGUCAUGUACCCAGGUGGAUCAAAUACAGAUACCAAUCAUAUAUUAUUAUUUUUACUCGUGUGUUUUUCUUGUGCCUGCCAAACAUUUCAAAAAUUGAUUAUAUCAUUCAGAUGUAUUCAGGCUGGGUUUUUGUGAUCCAAAAAAAUCAUGUGGCAUGGCUUUCUUUUUACAUACAAAACUAAGUGUGGAGCAGUGUAUAUGUUCAUUGCUUUCUUAUCACAUUGCAUUUGUCGGAGGUGCUAUACUGAUUUGAAGGAAAUGCUUUUAUAUUUCCAAGUUGAUCAACUACACAGUUUCUGAUCCUAAAGCCUUUCUUUAAAAGGGGCUGGUCAAUGCAGCUCCAUGUUGUGCUAUCUUGCUAUUGGGCUCUUUUUUCGUUACUUAAAAUGGUCAGAUAUCUCUGAUGUUAAAUUUGUGGUUGAUUGCUUAUAUCCAAAAUAACUAUGUUAGUACACUGAAGACAAUUUCUAUAUUGUUAGUGAAGUUGGCUAAAUAGUUUUUGCGCCACUAAGAUAUAUAUGUGCACUGCAUUCUAACCCUGUAAAUUGUUAUGCUAUUAGUUUAAUCCGGAAUAUAAUUAUGUUAGUACACUCUACAAUAUAAUUAUGUUAUAUUCUGCUUUUGUCAGUUUGCUGGUCCAUAUUAAUUUCCUCGAGCUUAUUUUCACAUCUCGUCAUAUUUACACCUCUCCGCCGACUGCCACCUAUCAUGGAGGGAGAUGGCUUGGCCAGGCCGUCAACACCCAUCAGGAACUUCCGGUAGGCGCCGUCCUGUUCUUCCUCCCCUUACUCUGAUGCCUUCAUGGCCAAAAUCAUUAGCAGGAGCAAGAAGGUUAAGCACCAAUUAUGGUUAAAGCUUUGUCUCUUUUGGGUACUAUGUGUUUGCUGGUUAGCUUACAAAUUCAAGUAAUACGACUAUUGCAAUGCAUCUUACUACAUGUGUAUUUAUUUGCAUUGAUAUUUUCUCCUCCUUAGGCUCCAAACCGUUUGUGGGUCAUAAAUUAUUGUGCAUUAUUGAUGAUUAAUUUGCAAUUUAAAUGACAACAGGGCUGGGUUUUAUAAGUGCAAUGGUUUGAAAUGUGACCUUCCAGUCAAGAAAUUUCCUCAGUGAGAAGCUUAUGUGAAGAAUGAUGUAAUUAAGUUAGCAAUUUACAGUUCUCUUUGACAAUUGUAACUGAAUUGUCAAUGGCCAGUUCUCUUGAAUAAUGAGUUACUCCCUCAAUUUUACAAUAGAGAUAAUUUGUCAAAAUUUUGUUUUUGU